GAACGGCUGCUCCGCGAGCAAACCCUGCAGCCGGUGCGCCCCUCCCUUUCCCGGUUUAGACUUGACCGGAGGCCGGCUGGGCGGCUGCGCAUGCGCCGCUGCUGCUCACGACCGGACGGUGUGCGCAUGCGCUCGCCGUGCCCGAGCUGGUUGCCCGGUUACCGCGUGCACGCUGGAGGCUGGAACCCGGAAGCUGGCCGCGCCCACCCGGACCCCAGCUGCCGGGUACUCCGGGUUGCCCCAGGAUGCGGCCGGCUGGCUGAGAGCGGGACCGGCCUUCCCGCUGUUCCUUGCAGCAGGGCUCUCAGAGUGCCCCACCGGGCAGCGGUGACACAGCGAAGUCACCGAGCUGGCCGUCCGCUUCUGUUCCUCCCAUCGCUGGCUUAGCGCCGGCCUCGGAGCCAGGUUUCCAGCGUGUUUGCACACAGGCUUGGGGAGCCUGUGACAGGCUGGGCCCCAGGUAGCACCAGCCCCUCAUCCUCCUGCGCUCCAGGCAUUCUGCAGUCUGUCCCACCGGGCCCCUCUGCAGAGCUGUCUACGUCUCUGCAGAGCGGGGACGUAGAGGCAAAGCCUCCAGGGCUCACACCUCUUCUCCAGUGAUCCUCAGAAGAGCCCUGCAGCGGAGUCCAGGCCUGGCCCCUGAGUCCCGACAAGACAGGCCUGCCCUGGUGGCCAUAAAGCCAGCCUGCUCUGGGGUGGGAGGCAGCACUUUCUGCAGCCUGGCAUCCUCUGAGUGGGUCAGGCUUCUGGAACCUCCACGAGACCAGGGCCUGGAGCCACAGCUUGUCACUUAGGCGCUAUGCCCUUUGUUGACCUCCUUUACCUCCCUUGGCAUCAGGUUCAUCUUUAAGGUGCUGCAGAGUAAGUGCUGCCAAUAAUACUCCAGGCCAGCAGGCUUGAGCUGGGACUGUCAGGGUAAAGGUGCUGUGAGGUGACCGGCUGUGCCUGCCCACCGUGACUGCCCCUGCCUGGGCCUCCUCCCAGCUACUCCCCCAGCCCUCUAGCUCUUGGCAACCCCAGGUGGGUCAGAGUCAGCACCUGGAGAGCUGCAGGGUCCAGCUUGUGCCCAUCAGUCUGUGGCAGGAGUUGGGCAGUCCUGUCCAUCCAUCAUUGGUCGGUCACUCCGUGUUCUCAGCACCAUCCAGUGUGGUGGCCUGACAUGGGGCUGGUCCACACUGAGCUGGGUCCUGAAUGCACAGGGCCUCAAUAGUGGUUUGUUACCGCAUGUUAAAAUCUUUUAACUCAAAUAAAACGUACUAUUGGCCUGGGCCUGGUGGUGCAAGCCUAUAAUCCUAGCACUGGGCAGGCUGAGGCAAGAGGAUUUCGGCA